UACGGAGGGAGCUAGCGUUGUUCGGCAUUACUGGGCGUAAAGCGCACGUAGGCGGCUAUUCAAGUCAGAGGUGAAAGCCCGGGGCUCAACCCCGGAACUGCCUUUGAAACUAGGUAGCUAGAAUCUUGGAGAGGUCAGUGGAAUUCCGAGUGUAGAGGUGAAAUUCGUAGAUAUUCGGAAGAACACCAGUGGCGAAGGCGACUGACUGGACAAGUAUUGACGCUGAGGUGCGAAAGCGUGGGGAGCAAACAGG
rnacentral:rRNA from 1 species